UCACAAACUGCAAGAUCAUGACCUGAGCCGCAGUCAGACGCUCAACUGACUAAGCCACCCAGGUGCCCCAACCGAGUCUACUUUUUAAAGCAGUGUAUUAUAUUCUCUGCCUCCCUCUCUGUCUGCCCCUCACCUGAUCUCUCUCUCUCUCUCUCUGUCUCUCAAAAUAAACUUAAAAAAAAUUAAAGUAGUACAUUAUAUAUGUAUUUGGCAUGUCUCUAUGUUGAGCCAAAACAUAAAACUUUAUAAUGCAGGAUGUUCUGUUGAUUAUUUUACUUCAUAAUGCUGGUAGCCUGAGAGUAGGAAUGAAGAAGAAUCUUCAUUCUGUGCCCUGGAAAGAAGCUAAAAAAUUGGAUAUGCUACUUCAUAUUUAUACCCUAGAUUAAAAAAACACACAUACACACAAAAAAACAGGUUUUGUAAAGUGUAAAAAGACCAUUAAUAAUACAUUUAAUCUAAAAAGUGUUGAUGGUUUAAACUUGGUGUGUUAGAACAGUUUUGUCUGAAAAGAAUGUGAUUAGCUCUCUACUGGUUCUAUAUGGAAAAUACAUUUAGAUGGGUUGAAAAAUACAAAUCCAAAAUGGAAACUGUAAAAUACUUAGAAGAAAGUAUUGGUGAAUCAUUUGGUAGUAGGAUUAGGAAAGCUUUCUUUGAUAUAAAACCAAAGGAAGUUAUAAUGAAGGAAAGUUUGAUACAUUUGAAUAUAUAAACUGAAAAUCUUUUAUUUGUCAAAAAACUUGAAAUGAUGUUUAAAAGCAAAUGAGAACCUUCAAAAGUAUCUGUAAUAUCUAACCUAUUGCUCAUGUAUGAAGAACAGCCAAAAAAAAAAAAAAAAAAGAAAGAAAGAAAAUUAAAAAGAAAACAAAAGAGAGAAAGCAUUGAAUUUGAGGGAACAUGGACAAAGGUCGUGACAGUUUGGUGGUAGGCAUAAAAAACCUACAAAAUGUUUACAUGGCUUUACUUAACAUUUUGCACUUCUAGGAAUUUUUCCUGAGAAACAAUUCAGAGACCAGAGCAAGGAUAAGGGUUUGUUGAUUAUUGCAUUAUUAUGGCAGUAAAUGUCCUAGAUGUCCAACAGUGGUCAUCUGUUAAAUAAGUGAUAAUAUAUCCAAAUGCUGGAUGGCCCCUUUGUAACCAUUCAAAAAUUGUGUUUUGGAAGACUAUGUAAGGAUAUUGAAAAUGCUAUUAUAUAAUCAAAUUAAAAAAGUAACAAAAUGGUGUGUGCUAUAAUUUCAAUAUUUAACAAGUAAAGUAUGUAUGUGUAGGCAAAAGACUGGAGGAACAUAGACUGUGUGUUGUGAAUAUGUGUCUCACAUGUCAUUUUUCUAAGAAUUAAAAAUACUUCUCAUGUUUUCUAUUGCACCAUAUAUUUUAGUGAGGAAAAAUUAAAAAUUGUGUACCAGCAAUCUAUAUUAAAUUAUAAUCAUACUGUAUUUAUACAAAUAAUUUGCCAACUCUAUGUCUCUAUUCUUAGGGCAAUAUGAUAUAUUGAAAUUCAGUAAAUACACUUUAAGUUUGUUGUGUAACACUGUUCAGGUGAGGGUAUAAAUUGAUUCAAUAUCUAAUAGUUUUCACUUCAGAAUGUUACAGAAUGAUGUUACUACAGUUAGCUGUAUAAUUUUAGUAGACUAGAGAUGAAAUUAUACUAUGCUUUCAGUUAAGUUAUUUUAAAUAUGAAAAAGGUGAAAACCAUGAACAGCAGAAUAAAAACAACCAGUUUCUUAUAUAAAAAUACCAAAAAAACUUUACUGAUGGUAGUAUUUUCUGACUUUUAGAAAUCUUGUAGCUGUAUUAUAUUUUUCAUUAAACUCUGGAUAUUCCUUAUACUUCCACAUUCAUGGGUAAAAUAAUUGCAAUAGUAAUGAAGGUAUGAUAUAGUAU